GGAAAUCACCACCAACACACUACAACACAAGUAUUUAUAAUUUUAUUACACAAACACAACAAUGGAAAGCAAGGUUGGCUACAAGAGGAUUAUCCUGGCGCUCUUUUUCAUCCUUGCAACAGUGAUGCUACAAAUCCUUGCUGUAAAAGCACAAGAACGUGAAAAUCCACUGUGUGAGGAGCACUUGGGCCAUCCAUGUAACCCUGUUUCUAGGCCUUGCUGUGCUCACACUGGCCGUCAGUGUGUCGCUGCUGCCGCCCUCAACGGUUUUCGAUGCGUCUAAAACUGUCGUCAAUCGCCGUAUACUCCGCCCACGACGAAGCUUGAUUGAUCCAAUACAUACAUUAUACAUAAUCACUGCAUCAUCUAUAUAUGUAUCAUGUAAUUAAUUUCUGGUUUGUGUCGUUUUCCCUUAUUGUAAUAAUCAUGUAUGAGUCUGCUUAUGGUUUGAUUUCUGGUUGAGUUUCGAAUUGUUGAUUCUCUGGUCUAGUCUGAUCUAUUCUAGCCGUGAAGCUAGAAACAAUUAUGUUGUAGUUGUACUGUAUGUUAUUUAAAUAAUAUUCUGGUUUUCUAUCA